UGGGCGUAAGCGCGCGCAGGCGGUUUCUUAAGUCUGAUGUGAAAGCCCACGGCUCAACCGUGGAGGGUCAUUGGAAACUGGGGAACUUGAGUGCAGAAGAGAAAAGCGGAAUUCCACGUGUAGCGGUGAAAUGCGUAGAGAUGUGGAGGAACACCAGUGGCGAAGGCGGCUUUUUGGUCUGUAACUGACGCUGAGGCGCGAAAGCGUGGGGAGCAAACAGGAUUAGAUACCCUGGUAGUCCACGCCGUAAACGAUGAGUGCUAAGUGUUAGAGGGUUUCCGCCCUUUAGUGCUGCAGCUAACGCAUUAAGCACUCCGCCUGGGGAGUACGGUCGCAAGACUGAAACUCAAAGGAAUUGACGGGGGCCCG
rnacentral:rRNA from 2 species